rnacentral:rRNA from 1 species
CGGGAGGAACACCAGUGGCGAAGGCGGCCUGCUGGGCACCAACUGACGCUGAGGCUCGAAAGCAUGGGUAGCAAACAGGAUUAGAUACCCUGGUAGUCCAUGCCGUAAACGAUGAUUACUAGGUGUUGGAGGAUUGACCCCUUCAGUGCCGCAGUUAACACAAUAAGUAAUCCACCUGGGGAGUACGACCGCAAGGUUGAAACUCAAAGGAAUUGACGGGGGCCCGCACAAGCAGUGGAGUAUGUGGUUUAAUUCGAAGCAACGCGAAGAACCUUACCAGGUCUUGACAUCCGAUGCAUAGCACAGAGAUGUGUGAAGUCCUUCGGGACAUCGAGACAGGUGGUGCAUGGUUGUCGUCAGCUCGUGUCGUGAGAUGUUGGGUUAAGUCCCGCAACGAGCGCAACCCUUAUUGCCAGUUACUACGCAAGAGGACUCUGGCGAGACUGCCGUUGACAAAACGGAGGAAGGUGGGGAUGACGUCAAAUCAUCAUGCCCUUUAUGACCUGGGCUACACACGUACUACAAUGGCGUUUAACAAAGAGAAGCGAUACCGCGAGGUGGAGCAAAACUCAAAAACAACGUCUCAGUUCAGAUUGCAGGCUGCAACUCGCCUGCAUGAAGUCGGAAUUGCUAGUAAUCGCGGAUCAGCACGCCGCGGUGAAUACGUUCCCGGGCCUUGUACACACCGCCCGUCAAGCCAUGAAAGCCGGGGNUACCUGAAGUGCGUAACCGCAAGGAGCGUCCUAGGGUAAAACUGGUGAUUGGGGCUAAGUCGUAACAAGGUAACCA